rnacentral:lncRNA from 1 species
CAGUUCUUACCUCCCUUUCUCUCAUGCCUGCUUUCUCUGCUCCCACUUUUUGCCUCCUAGGCGCUGCCAGGGAAAGCCGAGGACGCUCCUUCUUUGUCACCAGCAAAGACUCAUUCAGUUCAGUGACAGCCCAGCCAGUCCUACCCUGGUGGCUGGACACUCAGAGUCCUCGCUGCUUCCGUGGCUGCUUUUCCCACUCCUUCGAGGGCUAUGGCUCCAGUCGUGGUCAAGCUACUGACCUGGAUGCUCUGUGUCGUCAUUUGCAAACAUACCUACAUCAGGGCGACAGCAAACGUUACAGGUGGGACAGAGGAGGGCCGAGUGAGACCAGCCUGAGGUCCUGCCUUGCCCACACAAGUGGCUACUUCUUCCAUGCUGGGGAGGAUGAGAGCCUCAGAGGACAGGGACCAUGGCAGAGAGCGGGUGCUUUAUUUCUUGGAGAAUGGCCUGGAACGUGCUAGAGGGAGCAGAUCAUCAGGCUCCUCCCAUGCCCCCGCCGGACACGCAGAUGGGGCAGCGCUGCUCUGCUGCCCCUCGUGGGCCUCUGGGUUGGGCGUGGAGCUGGACCCCCUCACUCUGCUCUUCUGGGUCUUCAGGGCAGAGGCCUCGGCAG